rnacentral:misc_RNA from 1 species
UUUCCGUAGGUGAACCAGCGGAAGGAUCAUUAAUGUGUUUUGGCCUCACGGCUCUUCAUUCCAACGCUGUGCGCCUUCGGGCUGCACACUGAGGGAGUAUAUAUCCACCCCUGUGCACACACACGGUGGCGAGCUGGGUAACGGCUCGCCGCUGAUCUUUACACACGUCUAAAAGUCAUUGUAUGCGUAUUUGAGAUAAAAACACAACUUUCAGCAACGGAUCUCUUGGCUCUC